CGCAACGAGCGCAACCCCUACUGCCAGUUGCCAGCAAGCGAUGUUGGGGACUCUGGCGGAACUGCCGGUGACAAACCGGAGGAAGGUGGGGAUGACGUCAAGUCAUCAUGGCCCUUAUGUCCAGGGCUACACACGUGCUACAAUGGUCGGAACAGAGCGAUGCGAGGCGGCGACGCGGAGCAAAGCGCAAAAAGACGACCGUAGUUCGGAUCGGAGUCUGAAACCCGACUCCGUGAAGUUGGAAUCGCUAGUAAUCGCGCAUCAGCAUGGCGCGGUGAAUACGUUCCCGGGCCUUGUACACACCGCCCGUCACACCAUCCGAGUAGAGGGUACCCGAAGCCGGCAGCGUAACCGAAAGGGGCGCGCCGUCRAAGGUACGCUUUGUGAGGGGGGUGAAGUCGUAACAAGGUAGCCGUACUGGAAAGUGCGGCUGGAUCACCUCCUUUCU
rnacentral:rRNA from 1 species